rnacentral:rRNA from 1 species
GGGGAAUCUUGCGCAAUGGCCGAAAGGCUGACGCAGCGACGCCGCGUGUGGGAGGAAGCUCUUCGGGGUGUAAACCACUGUUGCCCGGGACGAACAUGGCUUUUCGAGGCCACUGACGGUACCGGGUGAGGAAGCACCGGCUAACUCCGUGCCCGCAGCCGCGGUACUACGGAGGGUGCGAGCGUUGUCCGGAAUCAUUGGGCGUAAAGGGCGCGUAGGUGGCCUGGUCAGCGUGCGGUGAAAGCUCGGGGCUCAACCCCGAGUCGGCCGUGCGAACUGCUGGGCUGGAGCACUGUAGAGGCAGGCGGAAUUCCGGGUGUAGCGGUGGAAUGCGUAGAGAUCCGGAAGAACACCGGUGGCGAAGGCGGCCUGCUGGGCAGUUGCUGACACUGAGGCGCGACAGCGUGGGGAGCAAAC